GCCGAGCGGUAGAGAUCUUUCGGGAUCUUGAGAGCGGCGUACGGGUGCGGAACACGUGUGCAACCUGCCUUUAUCAGGGGGAUAGCCUUUCGAAAGGAAGAUUAAUACCCCAUAAUAUUUAGAAUGGCAUCAUUUUAAAUUGAAAACUCCGGUGGAUAGAGAUGGGCACGCGCAAGAUUAGAUAGUUGGUGAGGUAACGGCUCACCAAGUCUGCGAUCUUUAGGGGGCCUGAGAGGGUGAUCCCCCACACUGGUACUGAGACACGGACCAGACUCCUACGGGAGGCAGCAGUGAGGAAUAUUGGACAAUGGGUGGGAGCCUGAUCCAGCCAUCCCGCGUGAAGGAUGACGGCCCUAUGGGUUGUAAACUUCUUUUGUAUAGGGAUAAACCUAGAUACGUGUAUCUAGCUGAAGGUACUAUACGAAUAAGCACCGGCUAACUCCGUGCCAGCAGCCGCGGUAAUACGGAGGGUGCAAGCGUUAUCCGGAUUUAUUGGGUUUAAAGGGUCCGUAGGCGGAUCUGUAAGUCAGUGGUGAAAUCUCACAGCUUAACUGUGAAACUGCCAUUGAUACUGCAGGUCUUGAGUGUUGUUGAAGUAGCUGGAAUAAGUAGUGUAGCGGUGAAAUGCAUAGAUAUUACUUAGAACACCAAUUGCGAAGGCAGGUUACUAAGCAACAACUGACGCUGAUGGACGAAAGCGUGGGGAGCGAACAGGAUUAGAUACCCUGGGUAGUCCACGCCGUAACGAUGCUAACUCGUUUUUGGGAGCGCAAGCUUCAGAGACUAAGCGAAAGUGAUAAGUUAGCCACCUGGGGAGUACGAACGCAAGUUUGAAACUCAAAGGAAUUGACGGGGGCCCGCACAAGCGGUGGAUUAUGUGGUUUAAUUCGAUGAUACGCGAGGAACCUUACCAAGGCUUAAAUGGGAAAUGACAGGCUUAGAAAUAGGCUUUUCUUCGGACAUUUUUCAUGGUGCUGUAUGGUUGUCGUCAGCUCGUGCCGUGAGGUGUUAGGUUAAGUCCUGCAACGAGCGCAACCCCUGUCACUAGUUGCCAUCAUUAAGUUGGGGACUCUAGUGAGACUGCCUACGCAAGUAGAGAGGAAGGUGGGGAUGACGUCAAAUCAUCACGGCCCUUACGCCUUGGGCCACACACGUAAUACAAUGGCCGGUACAGAGGGCAGCUACACAGUGAUGUGAUGCAAAUCUCGAAAGCCGGUCUCAGUUCGGAUUGGAGUCUGCAACUCGACUCUAUGAAGCUGGAAUCGCUAGUAAUCGCGCAUCAGCCAUGGCGCGGUGAAUACGUUCCCGGGCCUUGUACACACCGCCCGUCAAGCCAUGGAAGUCCGGGGU
rnacentral:rRNA from 1 species